ACGUGAGCCUAACAUCUAGAUUAAGAAAGAGGUGCGGAAACCAGAGUGGAGCAAAGGUUUAAGUUAAAAGGAAGGAUAAAUAGAAGGUAAUGAGACAGCUUCAUUUCCUUGAAAGAACUACUCUAAUUGCAGCUGGUUUAUUCAUCAUUAAAAAAAAAUCUUUCUGUCCCCCCGUUAAAUAAUAACAGCAGUUCAACAUGGCACAAGAGUAGCAGGGCUGCUUUACUUCCCUGUAAGACCAACUUAUUCCAGUUGGCUUAUUCUUUUUUCGGAAAAAAACUCUUUGUUUCAUUGUCAAGUUAUAUUAUCACUACAACAUGGCACAAGCAAACGUGACAUCGAUGUUUGCAGUGCCUAGUUUUGAUUGUGAAGUCUUGAGCAAGGUUUCCAUAAUGGAUCUAUUUCAUUAUUUACAGACUCUGACCAAGACUGUUAUCAUCCGACAUAAUGGUUAUAACGGUCGUUUUUUGCUUCAAAAAGUGCUUUCUCAAUUUUUUAGUAUUAAAAUAAUCAUCUCUAGAACAGCCUUUU
rnacentral:lncRNA from 1 species